GAUAGCGUGGCUGAGUGGUCGAAGGUGCUGGAUUAAGGCUCCAGUGUCUUUGGGCAUGUGGGUUCAAAUCUCACCACUGCCA
rfam:Patagioenas fasciata monilis isolate BTP2013 Sc31e1R_101, whole genome shotgun sequence.